rnacentral:lncRNA from 12 species
AUGUUUUCUGAUAAUACUCAGCACUUUGCUAAUCUUUUUGGCUUCAGCAGCCCACUGAUAUCUUCCGACAACAGUCUAGUGUGCCUGAGAGACCUUUCUCCUGUCAUGUUAGUAUUUGGAAAGUAUCCCGUUCCUUCAGAAUUUUUGAGAGUUUCUUAUUUCUUAUUCUGGAGCCAGCUUUUGUCAAGCCUUGAGAUAUUCAAACUGUUGCAGUUUUUUUAUGAGAAGCAGUUUGAUCACAGGUAUCAGUAAUCUCCUACCAGCAUUCAAACCCAAAAAGAAGAUGAAUGCAGGGCGAGGGAGACCAGUGAUGUCGUCCAAAUAAAGCAGCCUCUGCCAAGGGGCA